CCCACUUUCCUCCUUACAAGUGAUCAACCCUGUGAGGUCAAGCAAAACCUAAAGUGGACCUGAAGGUACCAACGCCAACGAUCACGAUUGGCUACCAAAGACUUACCAAUGGCUAUGUACAAGUCUUCAUUUGAACCGACUAGCAGCGAUGCAGACCCCUCCCAUCAGCAGCAGGAUGGCACUGAGGAUCGGGAAGAUGUUGGAAGCCCUGACUACCCCUGAACAGAGGAGAGGAUAAUGGGGAACAGCAGGAAGUGGAAAUGAGAAGGAGUGGAAAUAUUCUGUAAAGUAAA